UAAAUACAAAAAAAUAGAGGU
rnacentral:piRNA from 1 species